UUUCUUCUUCUCUCGGUGGCGCCGGCGAAGAGCGGACCUUGGAGCGUUGAGAGGAAGAGAGGUGGUUCUUUCUGGGAAGCAGAGACUGGUAUUUUGGUCCCGGCCACCACAGCUCUGUUGGAUCGAUCUCUUCUUCGUAUCAGUGAUCGUCUCCGGUGAUUGAAGGGUGCAGAGAGGAUGCGAUGUGCUUAUUUUAGAUACUGGAUUGGGAAGUGCAGAGAAUCAAGCAAGGGUCAAGGAGUUGCUUCAUGUGGAGGAAUCAAAACUAGAGGAGGAUGAGGGAAAUACCACUCCAGCAGUGAGAUGGGUUCGAGAUGAUAAAUAUGAUUGCAUCCGAUUAAAGCAUUGCAAGGUGAGCUAUAUUCACUGUGUAUCCCCCCUUCAGAGUACAUAUGUAUCUGUAUAGUAAUUAAUUUCAAUAUAGGCACAUCAAAUUACCUUAAUUGUUUCUGGACAUAGACUUAAUCCUUUGGAUUACUUUAUUUUAAUUGGUAGAGUAUUUGCCACUAUAAUUUAUUGCAUCCACAAGGUUUGCUUUGGAUAGCCUGCUCAGGUAGAGUAUUUGCCACUAUAAUUUAUUUUAAUUGGUAGAGUACUCGGGGGCUAAGUAGCCCAUGGCAGCACUUGUUUUGAGAGAGGAGAAAAUGGCAUCGUCUGCUAAUAGUUUGUGCAGGGCAGAACUGGAGAGUAGGGGGUUGAAAUGGCGGUCAGUGAGGACUUUUGUCGAUGACAUGUUUUGAUGGAGCAAGGAGGGCUUGCUAGGU